UGACCAUUCUUUCGAAAAGAAUUUAGGCCAUACGGACAGCCGGGUCAACUGCCGA
rnacentral:sRNA from 1 species